AAUUUCUAAUCGAUGUUAAAUCAUAUUUUUGAAAAAUUAAAAAACAACAGCUAAUAUACUUUUGCCCAGUUUAUUUCCCUCACUUAACAAAAAUCAAAACCCGUCCCUCUUUUCCCUACGGACACUUAACCAAAAUACCUCCUCCCUCCCGACACAGUCAAUCUCCCUCCUCCCUCACUCCGUCAAUCCGCCGCAUCUCUGGUGUCUCUCACAUAUCUCACAUCUCUCACUGCAAAUUAGGGUUCCAAUUGAACCCCAAAUUGGAUGAAGCACUACUCCCGACAUCUCACCUCACUCCCACUCCCGACAUCUCACCUGUGAAUCCCACCUCCCUCGACAUCUCCUCUGCCUCUUGCCGCCGCCGCAUCUCUCUCGUGUCUCUCACCGUCGCAUUUCUCUGAUAUGGAAGUUUGGAGCUUCAAGAGGUUUCACUGAGUUUGAAGAUGGUAUUAAGGGGUUGUGUGAUACUAUUGCUGUUGGGAUUGAAGCUCGUGACGGUUUUCCUGCACAUCCAAAUGAUCUUUUAUUCACAGUCCAUAGGAUGAUGGAAUUAUUGAUAUCAUCAAAGAAUGAUGGAAUCCUCUGUCCAGUUCCCUAAUACCCCUUGUACUAUGCUUCAAUAGCCCUCCAUGGUGGCACUCUUGUGCCUUAUUAUCUUGAUGAAGCAACAGGUUGGGGAUUGGAGAUUUCUGAACUUAAAAGGCAGAUAGAAGAUGGAUAGUCUAAGGGAGUCACUAUCAAGGCAUUGGUUGUUAUUAAUCCAGGGAACCCAACUGGGCAGGUACUUGCUGAGGAAAACCAACGAGAUAUAGUGGAGUUCUGCAAGGCAGAAGGUUUGGUACUUCUGCCUGAUGAGGUGUCUACUGGAGAACUUCUUAUUAUAUGAGGACGGGCAUGUGCAAGUUUGGUGCUUCCUGCAUGUAACAUCAUCCUAGACACGAAGUUCGAUCUGCAAGCUCAGUGUCGAUAAGUGUCUCCGGAUAUCCCCUGCUUCCGGUCUGCUUUUCAUUUAAGAAUCUAUAGCUCAUCCCUUUCUGGAAGCUGAGCUGUCUUAUAAUUCCUGUUAAUGUUGUAACGGGGUGAGAAAGAGUGUUCUUACUGCUUAAAAACAGGACAAUGCAAAUUUGGAGUCACCUGUAAGUUCCAUCACCCACAUCCAGAUAGCACACAUGUUCCAGAUCGUGCACUAAGGUACAUCCGUUUGGAAGAGCUCGACGAGGUUCGCUUGGACGCCAUCAACUUCAUCCAAGACAAAAUGUGAUACACAAUUCCAUUGUCUCAGUUUGGGCUAUUGAACAGUACUGUAAUUAUUAAGUUGGUUGUUGGGUAAAUAUUACUGUAAAUUGCGUUUGAAAUGCUUUGGUUGGGUUGGAUGUAAUUGCGGUUGGGUAUGAUAGAAUUUGGUAGCUAGGUAUCAAGUUGUUUGGAUUUUUGGAAUUGGAGAAGUGGAAAUAUAUUUAUAUGGUUGUUGUUGGGAUCACUGUUGGAAAUGUACAUUUUGAUUUGGUAU